UCAGACAAGAAAUUGAUUUUCUUGUUUCUCAGUGGCGAGCGGCCCAAAUCAUGUUGGAGAUCGGGUGGCAUAACGGUGGUUCUCGCCGUGAGACUGAGGAACGUCUCUGCUCUGAUAUCUUCUCUUGGUUCACUCAACCUCAUGAUCCCACUCUGUUGUCCCAGAACUGGGCCCGGAUGUUAAGUUCUCUUAUGCAUCACGCAAGGCAGUGUAGGAAUUUAAGGAGGCAAAAGCUGUACAGCUUCUGACCAUCAUUGAUCAAGUCUACAUCAAGAAUUUUUCCUGCAUC